CCUACGGGAGGCUGCAGUCGAGAAUCAUUCACAAUGGGGGAAACCCUGAUGGUGCGACGCCGCGUGGGGGAAUGAAGGUCUUCGGAUUGUAAACCCCUGUCAUGUGGGAGCAAAUUAAAAAGAUAGUACCACAAGAGGAAGAGACGGCUAACUCUGUGCCAGCAGCCGCGGUAAUACAGAGGUCUCAAGCGUUGUUCGGAAUCACUGGGCGUAAAGCGUGCGUAGGCUGUUUCGUAAGUCGUGUGUGAAAGGCGCGGGCUCAACCCGCGGACGGCACAUGAUACUGCGAGACUAGAGUAAUGGAGGGGGAACCGGAAUUCUCGGUGUAGCAGUGAAAUGCGUAGAUAUCGAGAGGAACACUCGUGGCGAAGGCGGGUUACUGGACAUUAACUGACGCUGAGGCACGAAGGCCAGGGGAGCGAAAGGGAUUAGAUACCCGUGUAGUC
rnacentral:rRNA from 1 species